UAGCAGUUACCUCCACGAGGAUGGUGAUAU
rnacentral:piRNA from 1 species